rnacentral:sRNA from 12 species
CUUGUGGACUGUUAUACCAAACGAGAGUAGUUAUUGAUAUAAUGAAAUCGGACAGGUUGAAGCAAGAA